UACGUAGGGAGCAAGCGUUGUCCGGAAUCAUUGGGCGUAAAGCGCGCGUAGGCGGCUCGAUCAGUCUGUUGUGAAAGUCAAAGGCUCAACCUUUGAAUGCCGAUGGAUACUGUCGAGCUAGAGUCCGGAAGAGGCGGGUGGAAUUCCUGGUGUAGCGGUGGAAUGCGCAGAUAUCAGGAAGAACACCCGUGGCUAAGGCGGGUCUCUGGGCCGAUACUGACGCUGAGGAGCGAAAGCGUGGGGAGCGAACAGG
rnacentral:rRNA from 1 species